AUACUUACCUGACAAGGGAGAUAUAAUGAUCACGAAGGUGGUUUUCCCAGGGGAGGCUUAUCCGUUGCACUCCAAAUGUGCUGAUCCCUGCGAUUUUGGCAAAGGUGGGAAACUCGACUGCAAAACCAUGGUAGUGGGGGACUGCUUUCGCACUCUCCCCUG
ensembl:snRNA U1 U1 spliceosomal RNA